AUUGAACGCUGGCGGCAGGCCUAACACAUGCAAGUCGAACGAGUGGCGGACGGGUGAGUAAUGUCUGGGCAACUGCCUGAUGGAGGGGUAUAACUACUGGAAACGGUAGCUAAUACCGCAUACCAUCGGAUGUGCCCAGAUGGGAUUAGCUAGCAGGGGGGGUAACGGCUCACCAAGGCGACGAUGCCUAGCUGGGCUGAGAGGAUGACCAGCCACACGGGAACUGAGAGACGGUCCAGACUCCGACGGGAGGCAGCAGUGGGGAAUAUUGCACAAGGGGCGCAAGCCUGAUGCAGCAAUGCCGCGUGUGUGAAGAAGGCCUUCGGGUUGUAAAGCACUGUCAGCGGGGAGGCGUUACCCGCAGAAGAAGCACCGGCUAACUCCGUGCCAGCAGCCGCGGUAAUAC
rnacentral:rRNA from 1 species